rnacentral:lncRNA from 1 species
AAUAUAGUGGAUGUAAAAUUUAUGGUGACACGUAUUUGAUCAAACACUGCUAUACAAAUUGUAGAGAACAUACAUUACCUAAUGAGGUUGCAAAUAACCGCAUAAAAUUCAAACAUCUCUAAAUAUUAUGAGAAUGGAAAAUAUGUAGGCUGUAUAUGCAAGUGCCUUGCAAAGUCUGUGGAUAUACCCACACCUCUGCGUAGAUCCAAACCCCAAGUCGACAUCGGUUCAUCUUUCCUCUUUGUACAGAUUCGAAUAGAGAUAUCAAUUUCUGUUUCCUUAAUCCAUUGGAUGACAUAUUCUAUGCCCCGCAAACAAGAGUCCAUGAAGAAAUUAAAGAACUUUUUUUAUUAAUACCGAAAUAACUAUCAAACUUACAAUAGUGUUAAACAAUAAAUUAACUGUAAUUAAAACACUGCUUCUGUUGGACCAACCUCCAAAAACUUCACUUGUUAAUGCUGUAAUAGUUCCAAAUACAACAUAAAGUUCCAUAAAACACAGUCACAAUAAACUCCACACUCUAACAAACAAUCAAUGAAUAAUCAUUACACUUACGUCAACUACCGCACAUCACAAACAACAACACAGUACAAAGCUAACAUCCAGCGCCACCCGGCAGCUAAAAUACUAUCCUUCAUUUAAUACUGAACCGUAUUAACAAAAUUAUUAGUAAAAAUAAAAAUUAAUAAUUCUUUUUCUCUUGUAUAAUUAAUUUUCUCUCUUUUUUUCUUCUAUAAACAACAAAACCAACAGUCUUUUCAAAAUAAAUUCCUAUUUCAAGCACUUUUUCACCAUACUCUCGGCAACCAUACAAUGAGGCAACCCAACAGCACAACGGCACAUCUCCAGCAACAGGUAUCAUUUUCAAUUUUCUUUUUUCCUUUUUCAAAAUAUCACAACACAACUCCAACUCAUUUUGUUAAUUUCUUCACAUCACCCCUUUCCAAAAGAUUGGUGCUGGGCUUUGCCAAAGGGCCUCCAGUAACGCCUAACAACCGACCACCACUCAACACCACUUUAGGGCAAUAUUGUCCCCAACAAUAACUCUUCAAUAAAAAAUCAGAAACAAAAUUUUUCUUCUUAAUCCAUUGAAGGAGAUACUGGCGGCUCAAUUUUGGAACUUUAUUAAAUUUUAACCUGCUUUCAUUCGGAGAUGUCACAUGUGUAUCAGAGUUGAUGACAGACAGUUUGAGC